rnacentral:rRNA from 1 species
CAGCGCCGCGGUAAUACGAAGGGUGCAAGCGUUACUCGGAAUUACUGGGCGUAAAGCGUGUGUAGGUGGUUGUUUAAGUCUGUCGUGAAAGCCAUGGGCUCAACCUGGGAAUUGCGAUGGAUACUGGGCGACCAGAGUGCGGUAGAGGAUAGUGGAAUUUCCGGUGUAGCAGUGAAAUGCGUAGAGAUCGGAAGGAACAUCUGUGGCGAAGGCGACUAUCUGGGCCAACACUGACACUGAGACACGAAAGCGUGGGGAGCAAACAGGAUUAGAUACCCGCGUAGUCCCUGUCUCUUAUACA